CCUACGGGAGGCAGCAGUGGGGAAUAUUGGGCAAUGGGCGCAAGCCUGACCCAGCAACGCCGCGUGAAGGAAGAAGGCUUUCGGGUUGUAAACUUCUUUUAUCAGGGACGAAGCAAGUGACGGUACCUGAUGAAUAAGCCACGGCUAACUACGUGCCAGCAGCCGCGGUAAUACGUAGGGGGCGAGCGUUAUCCGGAUUUACUGGGUGUAAAGGGCGUGUAGGUGGGAGUGCAAGUCAGAUGUGAAAACUAUGGGCUCAACCCAUAGCCUGCCUUUGAAACUGUACUUCUUGAGUUCUGGGGAGGCAAGCGGAAUUCCGGGUGUAGCGGUGAAAUGCGUAGAUAUAAGGAAGAACACCAGUGGCGAAGGCAGAUUGCUGGACAGUAACUGACGCUGAGGCGCGAAAGUGUGGGGAGCAAACAGGAUUAGAUACCCCGGUAGUC
rnacentral:rRNA from 1 species